rnacentral:rRNA from 1 species
AACGAACGCUGGCGGCAGGCCUAACACAUGCAAGUCGAGCGGACCCUUCGGGGUUAGCGGCGGACGGGUGAGUAACGCGUGGGAACGUGCCCUUUGCUUCGGAAUAGCCCUGGGAAACUGGGAGUAAUACCGGAUACGCCCUUUUGGGGAAAGAUUUAUCGGCGAAGGAUCGGCCCGCGUUGGAUUAGGUAGUUGGUGGGGUAAUGGCCUACCAAGCCGACGAUCCAUAGCUGGUUUGAGAGGAUGAUCAGCCACACUGGGACUGAGACACGGCCCAGACUCCUACGGGAGGCAGCAGUGGGGAAUCUUAGACAAUGGGGGAAACCCUGAUCUAGCCAUGCCGCGUGAGCGAUGAAGGCCUUGGGUUGUAAAGCUCUUUCACCGGGGAAGAUAAUGACGGUACCCGGAGAAGAAGCCCCGGCUAACUCCGUG